CUGGAGGAGUUUCGAGGACACUGGGGAAGGUCGAACGUUGGAGGAAUCCAGGAUUCAAUUCUGUUGUAGAAGUUCGGAUGGAGUUCGACUCUUAUAGGAGUCCGAAAGGAGGCCGCUUAUUGUAGAAGCUCGGAUGAAGACCGGUUGCCAUGGAAGCUCAGAUAGAGAUUUCUUAUUGUAGAAGCUUGGAGUAGAGAUCCGGCUGGUGGAGCCUGUCCGUUGUAGAAGUUCGUCUGUGAUCUAUCCACUGUAGAAGUUUGGAUGGAGUCCGGCUCUUGUAGGAGCUCGGAUGAAGUCCACUUGCAAUGGAAGUUCGGAGUAGAAGUCCGGCUGG
rnacentral:lncRNA from 1 species